CCAAGGAAAAGCUUGGAUAUCAGGUGGAACAUAUGCAAAGCUGAAGGUGGAGGAAGGCCUCCCAACUCAUAUGAGACUUUAUGUGAGCAUGAGAACAGCCACUGCUCUCUAAAACUGCUGAGACUUCAGGGUUUUGACCUUUGAGUCAGCUGGUAUCUACUACCCCAAGUCCACGGGCUUCUUCUCCUGGGUGAGCUUACCUGAACAGGACACAGUGAGCAAGGUUUGGCAACAGCAGCUGAUGCUUGGAAAAUAUCAGCAGGAAUAGGACACUCACUACUUCAACACUUGUUGCUCAACUCGGAAGCAAAAGGAAUGGAAGAAAAGAGAAAAUCUGUAAAGGGGAGCUUCAAAGAAGAGCUAAUGGACUGGGGGACCUGAAAUCACCUUGGUUAUGCACUUACUUGACAGAUGGCACUUUGAGUCUUGUCUUCCCUUGGAAUUUUCCUCACAAUCUCCAGUCUAUCCCUGAACAUGUUUGAACAGUCACGUAGCAUUUCUACCUUCUAAAAAGCACUUCCAUAUCUUCAAUAUCAUUUUAUAUUUAUAACAACUUAGUGAUGAGAGAAAUUAUCUUAAUUUUACAAAUAAGGAAAUUGAGUGCCCAGCAGGCUAAAUGACUAAUGAUAUGAUAACUAAUAUUAGUGGUAGAACCAUAAAGGAAAAACAAUGAACUGGGGGCUAAGAGACAAGUGUGACAAAUGUGUGCUCAAACUGCUAAUAUCCUGUGGAACAACCCCUUCCCUGACACUGUGCCCCCCGCUAAGCUGGAACUACAUUAUCUCCACGAACUCACAAUCUACUCAUGAAAAUCUUCACUUAAAAGGAAGUGUUUUAGAAGUAGUGAUCUGUGCUUCUCAAGAUGUGGAUUUGAGGGAAACUGGACACUUUGGGUGACUUAGGUGUUGGCACAGUUAGGACAAAGCAGGUUUUCAAAAUUAGUUGGAGGCAAAUAGGCCAAGAAAAUAUGACAACCAGAUCUUGCACAUCUAAAAUACAUUUCUGUUUAAGUAAGAGAAACUUCCUAAAUCAACUCAAAGCAGUACAAGAUGGAAAAAAGGUCUUAUGCCAAAACUCCAGCCACCACAAAGUCUGCUCAGUUCCCUCAAAGUCGACUGAGCAGUGUGACAGUGUGUCUCUUAACUCGUCCCAGUGCUGUGCUCCACCCCACCCAGUCAGGGGUUUCUCUUUCAUAAGCAGAGCUCUGGCACCUUUCAGAAACUCUGCAUUUGGCAGGGAGAAGCCUGGGUGGGGUAGGGGCUCAGUGAGUACUGGGAGAGGGUGUGGACCUGGUGUCUAUGCUCAGGGGCACCGCUGACGUCAAACCCUCACGCUCUCCAGCUCACUGGAGCAAGCACACAGAAAACUCCCUUUUGCAGCUGUGCAAACUGUUCUCAGCGAACUGCAGCAUGCCCACUGCUCCCCAUAGCGUUUCCAAAUCCACAGUUUCAUAUUCAGAGGGAAAUAAGGAACCUAUUUCCCAGUUGGCCCUUUUUCAGUCAUACAAAAUUAAAAUGAAGCUGAAAGUUUAAAUGAAAUGCUCUGGAGUUUCCAUGCUCCUUGCACCUCCGCAUGGUUAGGGCAGCGCUAGCUAACUAAGGCUCUUUUCUCAGUGUUUCCUAAGGAAAAUCUUGGAAAGUUGGCUAUAGGGCUGCAUUUCAGGUCUAAUAUGCAUCUGCUUCAGGCUUCAGACAUGCCUCUUUAUUCUUCCUAGUAGAAUGUGGGACAUUAGGAAUCUACUCUGAAGGUUGGCCCCUGAGAGGGAAGAGGAGAAGAGGGAGUUAUCAGAUUUGCCCCAGGUCUUAUGAGAGCUUGUUGUUCCCACCCGUCAGGCAAUACUCAGACUUCUCAGGACUCUUUCUUCAUCUCCGGGGACUCCAACCCAGGAGAGAAAGAGGCCAUUUUCCUCUGUGGGAAUGCAUGGUGGAAUCUGUACCUUUCAUUGGAAGCCCAAGUGGGAAGAGAGAAAACACCUCUGCAAGUCUCUUUAAACCGUGCUGCUAAAGUGUUUCACAUCAAGAGUGUUGUUAGAGGCCUAGAGGCAGAAGGAAUAUAGUUCUAAAACCCAAGUACCCUGUAAAUCCCAGUGGUUCUUGGGUGUGUACAAGAGUCAUCUGUGAGCUUUCUAGAAAUAUAAUUGCCAUGCUUCAAGUCGAGAUAUCCUAAAUCAGUAGGAAGGGGCACUGCGGGGUCUUAGCAUAAGUGUAGUUUGAAAAAUUCUACAGUGAUUACUCUGCAGGUAUUAUCACGUAUUUGACAGAUUUUUUGGCUGAAGUUGUAUAUCAAAACCACCCUUAAGAGUGGAAUUUUAAAAUCACUGGGUAAAAAGUUCUUUGAAGUAGAAAUCUGCAGUACAAAGUUAAGGAGAUAGCCAAUUUUAGAAGACUGAGAGUAUAAAACUAGGAGGAGUUACAGUAUACAGGAAUAAAUGCUUCAUUUAUAGACAAAGGAGUACAGCUGUUAUUUUCAGAAAAACUACAUAAGCCAGCAGCAAUAGUCAAUAAAUAAAAUUAAUUGUGCUCUAGCCUGCAGAGAUUAUACCCAGCUGGGGAGUGGGGGAGAAUAAGUCUCAUCUCUGAAGGUCAGGUAGAUGGGUGAUAUUAGACCCACACCUAUACUCGAGGAAUAGGGAUAUGUGUGGACAAACAAAACCUGCCUCAGGGAAGGAACAUGGGUAAAUAAGCACCGAUAUUUUGAGUUCUCAUUUUUAAUGGUAUUAGACACCUUGAAUAUGUUCCAGCUAGUAAGACUUUCACUUAUUCCUUCACUAAGUAUUAUUGACUACCUGCUCUGGGACAGUCCCUCGAUAGUACAUUCUGGAGAAACAGUGAUAAUGCCACCAGAACUCUUAUUCUCUGAUCAUUUCUCUUCUUGCCUUAAUUUUACUUGGACUUUUCAUUUAGACUUUCUCCACAUGGUAGAGAAGCUGCCUUCUGCAGCCCCUGAUUUACCCCCUUCAGCUUAGUUUCUAAAUGUGUCUUCAGAGAAACAAUGUGAUUUUUCAUCACUGUUGCCAAUAUUUAGGUUGAGUUUUGAUAUAGUAAUACUACUGUUAUUAAAGAUUAAAGAAUAUUUUCCAGUUCAUAGAGGACACUGCUUAGUCUUGGCAAAAUUUUCAAAUAGUCUGGGGUUCAUAUUGGUAGGAACACUUGGGCGGAUGAAAGACGUGGAUCAAGUAGACAACAACCAGCCAUGGACCCUGGAGAACAUCUGGGACAAUGUCAAUCUUGAUCCCUUCAGCUUCUUGGAAAAGUAGGGAGUGGAUGUGUGAUAGGACUGCUUCCUAGAGACUUUCAAGCAGCCAGAUGUUGAGUCUAGUAACUUCCUUCUCUCCCUUCACUUUUUUUGUUCUCUAAUGUUUCCCAUUGCCACAUCACCCUGCACCCUGAGACACAGUGGUCUGCCUGAUGGCCUGGGACAGGAAAGUAGACAGUGUCUUCCAGAGGUGCCUGCUGGUACCAUCACCACUCCAGUAGGUGGAGACCCUGCAGAGGAGGCUUGGGAGUGCCUUUCUGUCCUUAGGAUGUUAUAGUUUUCCACCAACUAGAUCUUUGUCAGUUGGGGAAGAGUUCUGGAGUCAGGAAUAUGCAUUCCCUAUCAGAUUGUCAUUUGAUGGUAUUGUUGAGUUAACCUACCUACUUUUGAAUAAAUGAUUUUUGACCCAUUGUUUUCAGCUGGAUAUGUUUCCCCUAAAUAAUUUUGGACCCAUUUCCCUUUGACUUUUCCAUUGUCUAAUUAUAUGAAAACAUAGAAAAAAUAUUAUCCAAGUCAUCAAUAAAAACAUUGCAUAAGACAAAGAUCUCUCUGUCCCCACUCCCACCCUCAUCUAGCUCCCAUCCAGUACUAUUACUCAGAACAUUCUUGCCAACUGGUAAAAAUAAAGCACUUACAGGAAAUCUAAAUUCUAGCCUAAUAGUUAUUACAACUGGAGGAUCUUGAAAAGAAAAUGAAGAAAAAAAUGAGCAUACCUGCUCUUUAUUUGGA